AUUAUGUGUUUUUUUUUUAAUUAAACAUGCAAAGAUAGAGAAGAUAUUAUUAGACUUUUUAUGUUCUCAUGGCUUAGAGAUGACUGACCUUAGAGCUUUUCAAGAUGUUUUACUAUCAGUUGUUUCACAUAAGUAGACAUUUCUCUUUUGCCUAAUUAUAAAGGACAGAUCUUGACCUCUGCCCCAAGAAGACCAAAUAAGCUAGACAGCUGAGGAUUCUCCCAGUGUAAUGGCUUUUAUAACCUAAGGUUUCUCCUAAGCUCUGUACUGGCGUAAAUAUCUGUACUCUGUAAAGAUGGAUCAAAGUUCUUUAGUAGAAGAAAAGCAGACUCUGUUUUCUCCAAUCUUUUUUCCAGACCAUGUGUAUCAAUUAAAAAAUGCAAGAAAUAUAUAUUAAAAUUUGUUAAAACAACAUAUCUGCUGAUCUGCCAAGAUAUGAUCCCUAACGGUACCGUUUAAUUGUAUCCUACUUUGUUACCUUCAAUGUGGAAAGAAAAAUUUAAAAAUAAAAUUGCUUUAGCAAAUUUCAAUAUAAGACCACAGAGAACAGAAUGUCUGAUUGUUUCCUUGACGUAGACCAAGACAGGAGCUGUCAGACUUUAGAAGAACCUGGAAGGGAAAUUUUAAUAGGGACUGCCCUGGGGGAACUUGCUAACUUGUCUAAAAGGGGUAAACUAACUUAAGCUUGUUCAGCUCUUCAUUAUUUCCCAAACACCUUGAGGGAAAAAAAAAAAAAAAGAAAAAAAAAGACUGAAGAAGAGGAGAGGGGGACCAUUGGCAGGGCAUGCUUUGCAGCACAACCUGAUCCCCAGAGUUUGGCCUCUGUUAUCUUCUUGAUCCACAGAUCCUUCCUAUGCAGCCUGAGCAGCAGUGCUACCUCACAAUUUCAUGUAAAGGCAGACACAACUAGAGAACACCAUGUUGCAGGAGCAAUGAAGAAUUCCCAGGUUAACUGCAGUAUCCUGAUGCUGCAUUCUGAUCCUGAUGACAAAUCUGGGAGUUAAAAUUGAGAUUUAUAUAAUGGCAGGAAUGACCUAAUGACCUUCUUGGCUAGAGGACAGAAUUACAUAAAAAAUUGGGAUAAUUUAUCACAGAGGACAUUCUUUUCUUCCAAACAUAUUCUUCCCUUUCCUCUUUCUCACAUGAACUCUCUUAAUGCUUUGUAUAAGAUCAUUAACUAAAUACACAAAGCAUGCUCUCCUGUUUUC
rnacentral:lncRNA from 1 species